AUUGAACGCUGGCGGCAGGCUUAACACAUGCAAGCCGAGCGGAGAUGAGGUGCUUGCACCUUAUCUUAGCGGCGGACGGGUGAGUAAUGCUUAGGAAUCUGCCUAUUAGUGGGGGACAACAUUCCGAAAGGAAUGCUAAUACCGCAUACGUCCUACGGGAGAAAGCAGGGGAUCUUCGGACCUUGCGCUAAUAGAUGAGCCUAAGUCGGAUUAGUUAGUUGGUGGGGUAAAGGCCUACCAAGGCGACGAUCUGUAGCGGGUCUGAGAGGAUGAUCCGCCACACUGGGACUGAGACACGGCCCAGACUCCUAUGGGAGGCAGCAGUGGGGAAUAUUGGACAAUGGGGGGAACCCUGAUCCAGCCAUGCCGCGUGUGUGAAGAAGGCCUUAUGGUUGUAAAGCACUUUAAGCGAGGAGGAGGCUACUGAGACUAAUACUCUUGGAUAGUGGACGUUACUCGCAGAAUAAGCACCGGCUAACUCUGUGCCAGCCGCCGCCGUAAAAC
rnacentral:rRNA from 1 species